rnacentral:rRNA from 1 species
UACGAAGGGGGCGAGCGUUGUUCGGAUUUACUUGGGCGUAAAGGGCGCGCAGGCGGCUCAUUUUGUCAGGCGUGAAAGCCCCGGGCUUAACCUGGGAACUGCGUUUGAUACGGAUGGGCUAGAGUUCGGGAGAGGAGAGUGGAAUUCCCAGUGUAGAGGUGAAAUUCGUAGAUAUUGGGAAGAACACCGGUGGCGAAGGCGGCUCUCUGGACCGAGACUGACGCAUGAGGCGGCGAAAAGCGUGGGGAGCAAACAGG